rnacentral:lncRNA from 1 species
CUGCGUGAACUUGGGGCUCACCGCUGCCCUCAGCUCCAGGUUCGGGGCGAGGUAAGACCUGGGGCGGGCGGGAGCACGGCUGCGAGGCGGGCAGCAGAGCGAAGCCGGCGCCAUGCCAGCGGUCCCAGGGUCCACCUGGAGGGCAGCGCAGGGGACCCCAGUUUCGGAGCUGGGAGGGAGCCUCAACGCCCACCCCAUCUGGCCUUGGCCGGGGGACUCCCGCGGCCCCACCAUCCGGCGAGGCCACGCGCUGGACCAGGUGGGAUAAUGAGGCCGUCCAGGCUCAGGAAUGGCCGAGGCGAGGCCAUCGAAGGGACCCACACGGGGCGGCAGGCUUUCCCCGCGGGGUCCGUUUCCUCACUCGAGAGGCGGCCGCUCUCCUGGUUCUUGAGGGGCUGCAAGCUCAGCGCCCUCCAGCUCAUGGCUCCCCGGCUGGUGGUGAAAGAGGAGGCUCUCCAAAUUUCCGCCACUCGGGGCCCUGCACUCCGCAGCCUCCGUCCCUUCGCUCCCCGACCCCUGGCACCCUGCCCGCCUUCGCUCUCCCUCCCCCGCCUCUGGGCCCGGCUGAAGCUCGCUUGGCGCGGGGAUCUCCCGCUAGGAAGCUGCGCACCUCGGCUAAAGCUGGGUCCCUGCCACUCUGCGGCACCUGGGACCCGCUUAAUCUUUUCUAGCUGCCUGUGGCUCAGGGGUGUUCUUGGGGCACAGAGUGCGGGUUCGGGAGAAAGCCGCGGGAGGGGUCGCUGAGUGCUGCGCAACUGAAAUGCCCAGGCCGCAGGUGCGCCCGCGUGUCUCGCACGCGGGGGCCACCGAGGGAGUGGGAAGUUGGGGGUGGACCAGAGUGGAAACCGACAGUGAAGGGGGAAAGGGACUGGCCAUGGCUUGGGAAUGGGCAGCGGGGCGAGAACUAGGAGUCUCCAAAGGGAAUGUCACGCGUGGUGGCGGCAGGAUCGGGGAAUGUGCUCGAAGGGUAGAGCCGUGCGUCGGGGCAGCGCUUGGCCUGCGGGGCGCUUAGCCAAACGGAGAGGCCAGAAAGCGGGGUAAGAGGACGGACUCCGGGGAGGCGGCAGGACUGCACGCGCGCCCGGAGCACGAGCCCGGCCAGCUGAGAAGGUGCCUUCUCUCCCGGCCUUCGGCGACACUGAUUCAGUGGCGCUCCUCGGAGACUCCCUGGCCUCGUGGUCAUUGCCGGAGGGCGUCCCUCCUCUCCUCGGCAGCGCAGAGCGAGUGCAGGAGGCGGAUCCUGGACUGUGAACUGACGCGCGGCGCACACCGGCCAUGAACCUGGAGGGCAGCGGCCGAGGCGGAGAGUUCGGCAUGAGCUCCGUGAGCUGCGGCAACGGGAAGCUCCGCCAGUGGCUCAUCGACCAGAUCGACAGCGGCAAGUACCCGGGGCUGGUGUGGGAGAACGAGGAGAAAAGCAUCUUCCGCAUCCCCUGGAAGCACGCGGGCAAGCAGGACUACAACCGCGAGGAGGACGCCGCCCUCUUCAAGGCUUGGGCGCUAUUUAAAGGAAAGUUCCGAGAAGGCAUCGACAAGCCAGACCCUCCCACCUGGAAGACACGCUUACGCUGUGCUCUGAACAAGAGCAACGACUUCGAGGAGCUGGUGGAGAGGAGCCAGCUGGACAUCUCGGACCCCUACAAAGUGUACAGGAUCGUCCCCGAGGGGGCCAAGAAAGGAGCCAAGCAGCUGACCCUGGAGGACCCACAGAUGCCCAUGAGCCACCCCUACGGCAUGCCAGCCCCUUACACCUCACUCCCAGCUCAGGUUCACAACUAUAUGAUUCCGCCCCACGACCGAGGAUGGAGGGAGUUCGUCCCUGAUCAGCCACACCCGGAGAUCCCAUACCAGUGUCCUGUGACCUUUGGACCCCGCAGCCACCACUGGCAAGGCCCGGCCUGUGAAAAUGGUUGCCAGGUGACAGGAACCUUUUAUGCUUGUGCCCCGCCUGAGUCCCAGGCCCCCGGAAUCCCCAUAGAGCCAAGCAUAAGGUCUGCCGAAGCCUUGGCCCUCUCAGACUGCCGGCUCCACAUCUGCCUGUACUACCGGGAAAUCCUGGUGAAAGAGCUGACCACGUCCAGCCCCGAAGGCUGCCGGAUCUCCCAUGGCCACACCUACGAUGCCAGCAGCCUGGACCAGGUCGUUUUUCCCUACCCAGAGGACAGCGGCCAGAGGAAGAACAUUGAGAAGCUGCUGAGCCAUCUGGAAAGGGGCGUGGUCCUCUGGAUGGCCCCCGAUGGGCUUUAUGCCAAGAGACUUUGCCAGAGCAGGAUCUACUGGGACGGGCCCCUGGCGCUGUGCAGUGACCGGCCCAACAAGCUGGAGAGAGAGCAGACCUGCAAGCUGUUUGACACACAGCAGUUCUUAUCAGGUAAGGCAGCCAGCUUCUGUCAGAAUGGCGGGAGUGGAGCUGCGGAUGGCGCUCCGGCCACGGGGUCAGAAGCAGCAGGCCAGUUGCUCCUGGUCUUCCUUCUGUGUAACCUGGAGCCCCCAGGCAUGAUCCUGGAAUGGGUUUCCUGUCUGCUCACCUGUCACCCCAUCACAGAGGAGUAGGAAGAGGAGGGGUAGUGAGGGGGCUGAGGUUCAGGCCGAGGUCUUGAAAUUCUGGUGUUGACCCACUGCUCACCAACUAAUCAGGUUCACGUUUUUAUUGCCUCUGUGAUUUGCUGAUGUUUCAGCGCUUUUAAGGUUCCUAGACAAAUCGUAAGGUUGGCAGUGCAUUGUUGGCACUCUUGGUUAUGAGAUGUGUCAUUCUCAGGUAGAGGCCUUUCAGCAGGUGGGACCGGGGUGAGUGCAGUGAACUGAUUUUGCAGAGGGGAAAUCGUGAGACGGUGCUGAGUUGUCUCUAGGUUUCAAAUCACAUUUUCCGGGACCCGUCGGUUUUGUUUCCCCAGUUCUGAUUUCAUGGCAGUUCGACUAGCUCUGGGCCACUCUCUUGAGACCCCUGCCCCCUUUUUGUGGAGGCCUCACCAAGCGUCCCUGAGCCGUCGGUGUUCACGAGGCUUUCUGGAGGGAGGCGGUUCUGCCUGCCCACUGGCACCCCUCCCUGACGAUCUUAUCCGCAGCCCCGCUUCGGAAGCACCCUUUGGGCUCUCGGUGCCUCUCCAGUCCCUGAAGUGCUUUGUGCCCUGCUUUGUGUAAACCAAACACGGCACCCCUGCUGCACCGCCAGAGACACAGGCUCAGCCUUGGGGUUUGGGGGUUCAGUGUCUGGACUCUCUGCGCUCACCUGGAUUCUCUUUUGCCGCCCAAGCAAACACAUCCCCCGACCAUGAACCCCCCCACAGAGGCCAGACGAGGCGGGGAUGCCGAGUCUCUGGUCCCCCCUCCUUGGUCUGAAGCCUCCCCCACCCAGAGUGGCAGCACUGCCUCCAUGUGGGUUUUCCGUUGGUCCUGGGGUCCAGGGGUCCAGCGUGUGGAUGCAGUGAGGCCUGCGAAGGAGCCGAGAGCCGCAGCUCUGGUGUCUGGGGUCCCACAGAACCCUGGGGGGGGUCUCCUCCGAGGUUGCGGACCUUGGGGUGGGAAGAUGCCGCGGGACAGGGAUGUUCACUACGGUUCCCACAAGGGCAGCCUUGCCCUCCGGGUUCUGUCCCCGGCCUGCCUUGGGGAUUGACCCUCAUCCGACCUCGGCGGCCCCUGCAAGACGGGCAAGAGGCCUCCGGCCAUGCGCUCACUCCCUAGGUGUCUGCGCCCAGGGCUUUCGGGCUUUUCCCUUCCUCUGACCCCGGGCUGUGCCCUUACUUCAGGGCAGCCUCUUAUCUAAAGCAUGUGCUGAGGUUCAAGGAGGAACCCAGGAACCCAAGUGCAGACCAGCAGGCAUCUUGGCGCGAGUUUCAGGGAACCGCGCCAGCCUGCCGCUGGGAGCAGCCUCCCACCUCAUGGUGUGGGGGCCUUGCACAUGUUCUGACGAAGUUAGGUUAGAUUUGAAUUCUGGAAGAAAAAAGAAGCAGGAAGUCAAAUGGUCCAGUGAGUUAGCUAGAAACUUCACUUCAGUUGAAGAGAACAGUGGAAAUCUUUGAUAUCUACCCCUUCAGGGCCUGCAGAGUCCUGGGGACAGCCCCGCACGCAGCCCGAGGCAGCCGCAGCUCUGCAGACGUGGCAGCAGCUGUGUGAGCGCCUUUCUUCUGAGGACGUGACGUUUGACUCUAGAAGAAGCGGCUGGAGGCCCCCUCCAGCCUGAGUGUGUCGAGAGGGCAGGGGCCCGCUGGGUGAAAGCGGGGAUCCCCCAGCACAUCUUGGGGUGGCAGAGGUGGCUUCAGGCACAUGUCCACCAAAGUGGGGCCCAGGGUUUCAUCGCCACCUCUCACCUCCAGUGCCAGAAGGCACACCGUCUGGGAUGCAGCUCGGUCUCCAAGACAACAUGAGGCACUUUCUGUGGUGCCUGAGUCACGUGGAGAUCCCGGGGAGCCCAGAUACUGGGUUAGAAGGCUCAGCAGUUUUGAGAAGAGAUUUUUAAGUAAACCUGGGUCCAAUCAGAAAAUUCUGUUUUUUUUUAAAAAAAGAUGUCUCUUGGGUGUAAAUUAUUCUUUUGGCUCAACGUGGCUGCGUUUCGCUCUCUUCCUCUUUGACCCCUUGCUGCCACCUUUGCUUCUUCAUGGGUCCAGGGCUGCAAAGCCAGGCUCUCCGUCUCAGGGUGAAUUUCCCUGAGGGGAAGGCUGCAGCCCUCGGGAGAGACGCUGUGAACACGGGUGUGUGCCCUUCCCUGGAGGCCCACCUCACCCCCGGUCUAGUCCCGCAUCCUCGCAGGCGCCCUGCUCUAGCCCGCGUCCAGGGCAAGGGUUUCUGAGCGGCUCCUCUCACGGUCUCUGCAGAGCUCCAGGCAUUUGCUCACCACGGCCGGCCCCUGCCAAGGUUCCAGGUGACUCUGUGCUUCGGGGAAGAGUUUCCGGACCCCCAGAGGCAACGGAAGCUCAUCACUGCUCACGUCGAACCUCUCCUAGCCAGGCAGCUGUACUAUUUUGCUCAGCAGAACAGUGGACACUUCCUGAGGGGCUACGAUCUGCCCGAGCACGUGGGCAGCCCGGAGGACUUCCACAGGUCCAUGCGCCACUCCUCCAUUCAAGAGUGAACCUCCAGGCCGAGAGGCCGUCGCCUUGUAAAUGCCCGACUCUGAGAACAGCGGGUUGAGCCCCCACUUUUUCUUUCGAGGGACGUGGAGACUGGGGCUUCGCUUCCACACUUGCGGACAAUGUGUGUGGACACUCUUCUCCCCCGAAUUGACAGACACGCUUUUUCCAAAAGCAAAGAUGGCAUUCGAGGUCUUCUGCCAACACCACACCAAUGAUAAUGUGAAAAGCUCACCCAAGUGUCUUUAUGUUUACCGAAGUGCUGUCUCCAAUCGGACACGGACUCUCCUCCUGGAGCCCAGAGAGAGCCUGCACCCGUCACCCCGACGACAGCAUGAGAGCUCCAGGUGCUGUGUUUCUCAGGGAAGUCAAGGUCUGAGGCUGUUCUGCCCCCAGAAGAGACAUGCUGAUACCUCUUCGCUGUGUUCUGCAAAGCCUGCCCAGAGCAGGGCACAUGCUCUGCUGCGGGUGGGCCAUGCCUCGGAGCCCAGAAGCCGGAUGGAGAGACUCUGUUGCUUUCUUGAGCCAAAAAGCAGUAGGGCCCCCUGAGUAGUGCGUUUUGUCCUGUGCUGACUGGUUAAGACAUUUCUUGUUUGUCUUUUUGUAUCUCUUCCUAUAGACAUUGUUGCUGAAACUUUUUUCUUAAAGACAAAGAAAACCACCCAGACCAACAAGCCAAGGUUUGGAACUUGGUGGAGGUUCCCUCCUGCCCUGCUUGUUUUGUUUGGAGGCCGGUUCUCCAUGACAACCCCAAGAGGAGGAGCCAGAGCUUGUCAAAGUGGUGACCUCUGUAGGAAAGAUAGGACAGGGCCUCAGGGAUUGUGUAACUGCAGACUCAGUGGGCUGUUUCUGCUUAUUUUGUAUAUUAUAUGCUUCCUCAUGCCAGUAACAGUUUGACAGGGCCUUAAAAUUCCUGGGCUUUUUCCAAAUCCAUCUUUUUAUAGAACCACUGAGAUCUCCACUUGCUUAAGUAAACUUGCACUUAUGUUCCUUUUGGAAACAUACAGGUGUCUAGGCUGUGAUGGAGCUGCUGAUACUUUUGUCCCGCUAGGAAGUAACUGCCAUUACUUUUAAGCUCAGCAAUAGACUUGUUCUCAAAUAUUCUAUUCUAAUAUUUUUAAAUUCAUUUAACAAACUGUAUCCCUUGCAUUAGAGAGAUUACAGCUUUUAUGCAGUUUAGUCAGCAACGAAGUCUUGGAAUGUCAUUUCUUUCUUGUUUGGGGGAGGUUUUUAGCAAUAAAAAAACACAUAUUGACCC